UGAUAGCUGCAUUAUCCAAAAGGAGCCCUACUAUGUAUGGGCAAGCUGAGAUUCAGGAUGAUAAUGCACUUUUGAGAAUCGAUAAAGAAACUUGAACUCUGGGACCACGUUUGUCCCUGUUCUCACUGAUGUGCCAUCUUACAAUGGCCAGGGAGAGAUCAAGCUGGCAGCCCAAGCGACAUCUACCAGCCUUUCACAGCAAAAGGAAGCAAAGGUAUUUGCAUUGACUACCGAGAAUUCUAAAUCCCAUUGUUACAUAACUAAUGAGAAAAGUGAUUCUCAAGGAAGUUAAGUGACUGGUCCAAGGUCAUACAAGUGGUAAGCGUCUGAUGUGCACUACCAUUCCUUAUACAUUCAAGCAAUAUGAUCUUUUUCAUUGGCUCCUGAAACAACUACAAUGAGAACGUUCUUCCAAAUGUGACAUUCCAACAAACUUUGCUCAUUUUUUGGUGUGGAGAACCUAAGAUCCCAGGGGCAUGGAGAUUUCAGGAAGCUAUGUUAGUAGCAUGCCUAUUCUUGAAGCCAAGCCUCUGCCUAGCUAAGUAAGCUAAUAUUUGGUUUGCGUACUUAGUCUCCACUGAAGCCCUCCUCUGACACCUCACUGUGGUAUGAAAAAGGACUCUGGGUUCUCAAAGGCUAAGCAAGCAAAUCUCAAGCCCUGACAGACUCUACCAAAAUUUUGGGCACCGGUACAAUGGCUACCCCUACUUCUGUUGUUGAGAAAUCAGCCCCGCCAAGGACAAAGAUUUCAUCACCAGGUUGGAUGCAAGGGGAUGGAUUUCUGGCUCGGCUACUCAAAAAGUUGGUUAAGUUUGUAUCUGUGUCUAUAGAGGGAGGGAACCACGGGGAGGGGAGGAAUCACAGAUCCUGGUCUCAAAGUAUUUUCUAUUACAUGGCCCAAUUAGCAUUGAUAUCAAGAGUGAUAAGACCAAGAGAUAACUUGUAAAAAUUACUGAUUUAUCUUUUUACUAGAAACACUAUCUCCUUCAGCUUAUCUAUUUUUCUUUGGUUGAAUUACCUUUCUGCUCUCAAGCUACUGUUGUCAUUUGUCCUUUGCUCUUGAAGAGGACCUUGACAUCAGAGAGGUGAUGCCGGACAAGCGAGUGAGUUGGAUUUAAGUGAGGGAGGGCUGAGUUCAGAUGCUAAGAAAAGACUGGAAGUCCUUAAUACUAUUUAGAAGAUAAUUUACACACUGAGACGUAGCAAGCCUAGCUUUCCGUCCCACAAUAAUUAUAGUGGCUAAUUCAAUUUAGUAAAUGUGUAUUAAUGCCAGCUGUCUGCAAUCAAUCAAUCCAGCCUUGAAGCCCGGAAGACUUAGGGAAGAAUCUUACUUCUGAUGCACACUAGCUGCGUGACCCUAGACAGAUGCUUCAUCUUUCAAUGCUCUAGGCAAUUCCCUAAGAAGACAGGUUGUAAAAUAAGGUUCUGGUUUGUAUUGGUAGAGGGAUUUCCCUAUUGAAAUCACAGGUCCAGUACAUACCCCUAUGUACAAAACACUAUGUUAGGCACAGGAUAAAAAUAGACAUUGAAGGAUUAAAGGACUAUUUACCUAAUAAAUGCUUCCACAUACUAAUGAAUGUGGAAAUCAAUUCUGGGUAUACCUGCACCUUUUUUUUUGUUAUCACUUCAAGUUUGCUUAAAUGUCACAAGUAUAUAGACACCAAAAUGCCAGUUUCAAAGACAGAUGUACUUAUUAGUGUUUCUCCUACUAAUACAAUGGAUGAAUUUUGAUUUUUGCAAUUUUAAAAUCUCCAAUGCCGUCUCAAUGCCUGUAAGAUAAUAUCCAGGUUCCUCAGUCUGGCAUUCAAGGGUCUUCAUCUCUAACCUACAUAUCUAACCUUUUGUCCCUUGACCUAUAUCGCUCCCCUUUUCAUCAACUAUAUGUAAACUCUACUAUAACUAAGUUAGUUUUCUAAUUGGGGAAAGAAAUAAAAUAUUAUUUUUAAAAGUUGGUCUUCUCAUUAUUCUGAGAAUAUUCUAUGCUUAUUCCCAGCUACAAGUCUUUGUUUACUUUUUUCCCUUCUACCCUUAAUCCCCUUUUGCUUCUACCCAUUCAAAUUGUGCCUAUCCUUCAAAUUUCACCCUUUCCCAGGCUUAUCUGACCAUCCUCUUUGAUUAUUUCCAAUGAUUCACUUCUUGGAAUUAAUGUAGCUUAUUACAAGGCUAAUCAUAUACAACCUUUCAUUGUAACUUAAC